AUACGUAGGGGGCGAGCGUUGUCCGGAAUGAUUGGGCGUAAAGGGCGCGUAGGCGGCGCGGUAAGUCUGGAGUGAAAGUCCUGCUUUCAAGGUGGGAGUUGCUUUGGAUACUGCCGCGCUUGAGUGCAGGAGAGGUUAUCGGAAUUCCCGGUGUAGCGGUGAAAUGCGUAGAGAUCGGGAGGGACACCAGUGGCGAAGGCGGGUAACUGGACUGCAACUGACGCUGAGGCGCGAAAGUGUGGGGAGCAAACAGGAUUAGAUACCCUGGUAGUCCACACUGUAAACGAUGAAUGCUAGGUGUAAGAGGUAUCGACCCCUUUUGUGCCGGAGUCAACACAAUAAGCAUUCCGCCUGGGGAGUACGGCCGCAAGGUUGAAACUCAAAUGAAUUGACGGGG
rnacentral:rRNA from 1 species